UACGAAGGGGGCUAGCGUUGUUCGGAAUCACUGGGCGUAAAGGGCGCGUAGGCGGCUUUAUAAGUCGGGGGUGAAAGCCUGUGGCUCAACCACAGAAUUGCCUUCGAUACUGUAGAGCUUAAGACCGGAAGAGGUAAGUGGAACUGCGAGUGUAGAGGUGAAAUUCGUAGAUAUUCGCAAGAACACCAGUGGCGAAGGCGGCUUACUGGUCCGGUUCUGACGCUGAGGCGCGAAAGCGUGGGGAGCAAACAGG
rnacentral:rRNA from 1 species